UACGAAGCCAGCCACAAGAUUAGAUUUCUUUUAGGGUCGUUGUAGACUACAACGUUGAUAGGACGCAGGUGUACAGGUGGUAACAUCACAGCCGAGCGUUACUAAUUGCCCGAUGACUUUCUUUU
rnacentral:rRNA from 1 species